rnacentral:rRNA from 1 species
UGGGUCAGCGACUUAUAUUCUGUAGCAAGGUUAACCGCAUAGGGGAGCCGAAGGGAAACCGAGUCUUAACCGGGCGUUAAGUUGCAGGGUAUAGACCCGAAACCCGGUGAUCUAGCCAUGGGCAGGUUGAAGGUUGGGUAACACUAACUGGAGGACCGAACCGACUAAUGUUGAAAAAUUAGCGGAUGACCUGUGGCUGGGGGUGAAAGGCCAAUCAAACCGGGAGAUAGCUGGUUCUCCCCGAAAGCUAUUUAGGUAGCGCCUCGUGAAUUCAUCUCCGGGGGUAGAGCACUGUUUCGGCUAGGGGGCCAUCCCGGCUUACCAACCCGAUGCAAACUGCGAAUACCGGAGAAUGUUAUCACGGGAGACACACGGCGGGUGCUAACGUCCGUCGUGAAGAGGGAAACAACCCAGACCGCCAGCUAAGGUCCCAAAGUCAUGGUUAAGUGGGAAACGAUGUGGGAAGGCCCAGACAGCCAGGAUGUUGGCUUAGAAGCAGCCAUCAUUUAAAGAAAGCGUAAUAGCUCACUGGUCGAGUCGGCCUGCGCGGAAGAUGUAACGGGGCUAAACCAUGCACCGAAGCUGCGGCAGCGACACGUAAGUGU